AGAGUUUGAUCCUGGCUCAGGACGAACGCUGGCGGCGCGCCUAACACAUGCAAGUCGAACGAGCGAGAGAGAGCUUGCUUUCUCAAGCGAGUGGCGAACGGGUGAGUAACGCGUGAGGAACCUGCCUCAAAGAGGGGGGCAACAGUUGGAAACGACUGCUAAUACCGCAUAAGCCCACAGCUCGGCAUCGAGCAGAGGGAAAAGGAGUAAUCCGCUUUGAGAUGGCCUCGCGUCCGAUUAGCUGGUUGGUGAGGUAACGGCCCACCAAGGCGACGAUCGGUAGCCGGACUGAGAGGUUGAACGGCCACAUUGGGACUGAGACACGGCCCAGACUCCUACGGGAGGCAGCAGUGGGGAAUAUUGCACAAUGGGGGAAACCCUGAUGCAGCGACGCCGCGUGGAGGAAGAAGGUCUUCGGAUUGUAAACUCCUGUUGUUGAGGAAGAUAAUGACGGUACUCAACAAGGAAGUGACGGCUAACUACGUGCCAGCAGCCGCGGUAAAACGUAGGUCACAAGCGUUGUCCGGAAUUACUGGGUGUAAAGGGAGCGCAGGCGGGAAGGCAAGUUGGAAGUGAAAUCCAUGGGCUCAACCCAUGAACUGCUUUCAAAACUGUUUUUCUUGAGUAGUGCAGAGGUAGGCGGAAUUCCCGGUGUAGCGGUGGAAUGCGUAGAUAUCGGGAGGAACACCAGUGGCGAAGGCGGCCUACUGGGCACCAACUGACGCUGAGGCUCGAAAGUGUGGGUAGCAAACAGGAUUAGAUACCCUGGUAGUCCACACUGUAAACGAUGAUUACUAGGUGUUGGAGGAUUGACCCCUUCAGUGCCGCAGUUAACACAAUAAGUAAUCCACCUGGGGAGUACGACCGCAAGGUUGAAACUCAAAGGAAUUGACGGGGGCCCGCACAAGCAGUGGAGUAUGUGGUUUAAUUCGACGGAACGCGAAGAACCUUACCAAGUCUUGACAUCCUGCGACGCACAUAGAAAUAUGUGUUUCCUUCGGGACGCAGAGACAGGUGGUGCAUGGUUGUCGUCAGCUCGUGUCGUGAGAUGUUGGGUUAAGUCCCGCAACGAGCGCAACCCUUAUGGUCAGUUACUACGCAAGAGGACUCUGGCCAGACUGCCGUUGACAAAACGGAGGAAGGUGGGGAUGACGUCAAAUCAUCAUGCCCUUUAUGACUUGGGCUACACACGUACUACAAUGGCGUUAAACAAAGAGAAGCAAGACCGCGAGGUGGAGCAAAACUCAGAAACAACGUCCCAGUUCGGACUGCAGGCUGCAACUCGCCUGCGCGAAGUCGGAAUUGCUAGUAAUCGCAGAUCAGCAUGCUGCGGUGAAUACGUUCCNCGGGCCCUUGUACACACCGCCCGU
rnacentral:rRNA from 1 species